rnacentral:rRNA from 1 species
GGAGGUAGUGACAAUAAAUCACAAUGCGGGACUAUACGUCUUGCAAUUGGAUUGAGAACAAUGUACAACUCUUAUCGAUAAGCCAUUGGAGGGCAAGUCUGGUGCCAGCAGCCGCGGUAAUUCCAGCUCCAAUAGCGUAUAUUAACGUUGUUGCAGUUAAAAAGCUCGUAGUUGAAGUGUGGGUGGUGCUGUCUGAAUGACUUCGGUUAGUCAGAUGAUCACUACCCCCUUCCAGUAUCCAGUAGUGGGUAUUCAGUUACUUACUAUUGUGUGUUGGUCCUUUACUGUGAGAAAAUUAGAGUGUUCAAAGCAGGCGUUUGCUUGAAUAGAUUAGCAUGGAAUAAUAAUUGAAGGCUUUCGUGUUCGAUUUGAUUGGUUUGUUCAUGGAAGCAAGGUUAAAAGGAACAGUUGGGGGUAUUCAUAUUCACUAGUUAGAGGUGAAAUUCUCGGAUUUAUGGAAGAUGAACAAGUGCGAAAGCA